rnacentral:rRNA from 1 species
UUUAACAAAAACAUGGCUUUUAGAAUAAAAUUAAAGGUCUGACCUGCCCACUGAUGAAAUUGAAGGGCCGCGGUAUCUUGACCGUGCAAAGGUAGCAUAAUAAUUCGUCUUUUUAUUGGGGGCUGGAAUGAAGGGUUUGACGGACAUUAACUGUCUCAGUAAACUAUAUUGAAUUUUACUUUUAAGUUAAAAGGCUUAAAUAGAAAUAGGGGACGAUAAGACCCUAUAGAACUUUAUAAUGGAAGUAUUAUAGAAAUAUCUGAUUAUUUUACUGGGGUGGUAGAGGAAGAGAUCAACUUUUUCACGUUUAACAUCUAUUGAUGAUUCAAGGAUUCAUUAGUAAUGAUAGUAAGAGGAAGUUACCUUAGGGAUAACAGCUUAAUUUCCUUUGAGAGCUCUUAUCGACAAGGAGGAUUAAGACCUCGAUGUUGGAUUAUGAUUAGGUUUAAACGAAGAGGUUUAAAUUAUAAGUCUGUUCGACUUUCAAACUCUUACGUGAUCUGAGUUCAGAC